rnacentral:rRNA from 1 species
UGGGGAAUAUUGCACAAUGGGCGCAAGCCUGAUGCAGCCAUGCCGCGUGUGUGAAGAAGGCCUUCGGGUUGUAAAGCACUUUCAGCGAGGAGGAAGGUGGUGAGCUUAAUACGCUCAUCAAUUGACGUUANUCGCAGAAGAAGCACCGGCUAACUCCGUGCCAGCAGCCGCGGUAAUACGGAGGGUGCAAGCGUAAUCGGAAUUACUGGGCGUAAAGCGCACGCAGGCGGUUUGUUAAGUCAGAUGUGAAAUCCCCGGGCUCAACCUGGAACUGCAUUUGAAACUGGCAAGCUAGAGUCUCGUAGAGGGGGGUAGAAUUCCAGGUGUAGCGGUGAAAUGCGUAGAGAUCUGGAGGAAUACCGGUGGCGAAGGCGGCCCCCCUGGACGAAGACUGACGCUCAGGUGCG